GGUCAACCGCGCUACGCGCGUACGCCUUUUCUCUAUAUCCAUUCGUCCGACAAGAUGAUGUGUCCUGAAAUGGUGCAGACACGUGUAAGCCUACUCUCAGAACGGUCGAACGAAAGAACUGAAACUCGGACGGGAACCCUGAAAUGUGCGGUAAACUACCAACUUCAAACACUCACCUCUCCUGAAGAAACCGGAAAUGAUUACUUCCGGAUGUGAAAACUGAAGAGAUCAGUAAACUAUUUUAAUGAUAAUUACAAUUAGCAUUUGAUACAUGAAACUAUUGUAUGUUAAUGAAUAAAAUCGAAUGAUUUAAAAAGUGAAAAUAUUUUAUAACUAUUGCUUUAUAUAUUUUUUAAUUUUAUAUCGAAGUGUGCUUUGAAAAUAGUACCGCCAGCGUCAUCUGGCAAUGAACAAGCAGACUAACGAUUCGAACCUUUUUUUUCUAUAUUAGAGACAUUUAGUUUCAGAAAUUGAAAACAUAUUAUUUUUAAAAUAGUUCUUCUUGUUAUACAUAAAGAACUUUACAAAUAAACAUA